GCUUAACACACGCAAGUCGAGGGGCAGCGGGGGUAGUGAUACCCGCCGGCGACCGGCGCACGGGUGAGUAACGCGUAUGCAACUUGCCUAUCAGAGGGGGAUAACCCGGCGAAAGUCGGACUAAUACCGCAUGAAGCAGGGGCCCCGCAUGGGGAUAUUUGCUAAAGAUUCAUCGCUGAUAGAUAGGCAUGCGUUCCAUUAGGCAGUUGGCGGGGUAACGGCCCACCAAACCGACGAUGGAUAGGGGUUCUGAGAGGAAGGUCCCCCACAUUGGUACUGAGACACGGACCAAACUCCUACGGGAGGCAGCAGUGAGGAAUAUUGGUCAAUGGCCGAGAGGCUGAACCAGCCAAGUCGCGUGAGGGAUGAAGGUUCUAUGGAUCGUAAACCUCUUUUAUAAGGGAAUAAAGUGCGGGACGUGUCCCGUUUUGUAUGUACCUUAUGAAUAAGGAUCGGCUAACUCCGUGCCAGCAGCCGCGGUAAUACGGAGGAUCCGAGCGUUAUCCGGAUUUAUUGGGUUUAAAGGGUGCGUAGGCGGCCUUUUAAGUCAGCGGUGAAAGUCUGUGGCUCAACCAUAGAAUUGCCGUUGAAACUGGGGGGCUUGAGUAUGUUUGAGGCAGGCGGAAUGCGUGGUGUAGCGGUGAAAUGCAUAGAUAUCGCGCAGAACCCCGAUUGCGAAGGCAGCCUGCCAAGCCAUUACUGACGCUGAUGCACGAAAGCGUGGGGAUCAAACAGGAUUAGAUACCCUGGUAGUCCACGCAGUAAACGAUGAUCACUAGCUGUUUGCGAUACACUGUAAGCGGCACAGCGAAAGCGUUAAGUGAUCCACCUGGGGAGUACGCCGGCAACGGUGAAACUCAAAGGAAUUGACGGGGGCCCGCACAAGCGGAGGAACAUGUGGUUUAAUUCGAUGAUACGCGAGGAACCUUACCCGGGUUUGAACGCAUUCGGACCGAGGUGGAAACACCUUUUCUAGCAAUAGCCGUUUGCGAGGUGCUGCAUGGUUGUCGUCAGCUCGUGCCGUGAGGUGUCGGCUUAAGUGCCAUAACGAGCGCAACCCUUGCCACUAGUUACUAACAGGUAAAGCUGAGGACUCUGGUGGGACUGCCAGCGUAAGCUGCGAGGAAGGCGGGGAUGACGUCAAAUCAGCACGGCCCUUACAUCCGGGGCGACACACGUGUUACAAUGGCGUGGACAAAGGGAGGCCACCUGGCGACAGGGAGCGAAUCCCCAAACCACGUCUCAGUUCGGAUCGGAGUCUGCAACCCGACUCCGUGAAGCUGGAUUCGCUAGUAAUCGCGCAUCAGCCAUGGCGCGGUGAAUACGUUCCCGGGCCUUGUACACACCGCCCGUCAAGCCAUGGGAGCCGGGGGUACCUGAAGUCCGUAACCGAAAGGAUCGGCCUAGGGUAAAACUGGUGACUGGGGCUAAGUCGUA
rnacentral:rRNA from 1 species